UCUUCCGUAGUAUAGUGGUCAGUAUGUGAGCUUGUCAACCUUCUAGGAAGACUUCGCUCGAGACCCGGGUUCAAUUCCCGGCGGGAGAG